GUCAAGGGGUUUCUCAAGGAAAAGGGCAGGAGCGUGCCUAGGGUAGUAGGUCGUUACGCCCUCGCACCUAACCCCGUAAACGGCAAGGCUGCUGCGCGCUCCCGCGGGCCCAAGGAGCCCCAGUGCCUCGGCACCUGGGACGGGAAAAACCGCUGGGGCUGAAGUCCACAGGCGGACUACUUGGGAAAAAAAAUCAAACAUAUGGCCAACCUUUCCACUUCCUGAAAUCAACGUGAGAGUAACAUCCAUACUGCGCUUUGUGCGAGUGCUCCUGUGCGGUACCACAAACACUAAGGUGUUACAAACGAUCCUUCUAGAAGCGGAAAAUCGGCAUCUACAGGAAGAGUGAAGAAAUCAUGGAACUUUCUUACUAUGGAAUAUUGUGCGGUCCUAACGGGAUGAAGUAGGUAGAGAUGGGAAAGAACUUCAAGGUGUAUGGAUGAAUGAAAGAACACUUUCUAUGGCAGCAGCCUGGGACCAUGUCCUAGCCUUGCGGUGACCAUCGUGUAGCUUUUGCAGACAUCGUGUGAACUGGGACAGAACUGUGAGUUCUGAAAACGAAAAACCCUGACUAUACCAGUCCUAUAAGGGAGAAGCUUUUAACCUUGAUUUGAUUUGCUACCUUGGGAAUAAGAGGAUCCAAGAAGAGGUGGAACCAGCAGCCUGGGGCCCAGUUUCUUCUGUGUGACAGGAAGUGAAUUACUUUAUCGAGCUUUGGACCCUCUCUAUGUAAAAGGUCAUGCUGAAGAGCGAUAGUCCUGUGCACACCGAGGAGCUCAGAGUUUUCCAUUUUCUGGGGAGCAACAUAGAACAUGCAAGGCUUCCUAGCAUUGCCAAGACUUGCUUCCAUGGUCCAGCUUAUUAUUCUCUUCCCAGGAAGUCAGUAGAUGGGAAGGAAAGAAGCUGAAAGAGAAAGCAACACUCCUUCUACUGUGCUGUGGAAUGUCAAGUUGAGGAUGAGCAGGAGCUUCCAGAGCCAACAGAUCUCUUUACAUUGGCACAAAGAAGAGAGAGUGACUUCUGGACUCCUGGCUCCCUGAGCAAAGGCGGUGUUACUCUCACAUGGGGGACAUAGAGGAUGUCACAUAUUACAGAGAACACUACAAUGUCAACCCUUGCAGAAGGAAUUUGAAAUGCAAGUGCAGCAAUCUCAGUGACCAAGAUUACCCAAGGAGCAGUUCGCCACACUAAUCCGUGUCUGGAAGAUUUGUGUUCUAGGAGCUUGAUUCCCGGCGUGGUGGUGUGGAGGUGGUGGAACCUUGAAGAGAUGGAGCCUUAGAUGAGGUGAUUGGGCCAUGGGCAUCACCCUCAGGAGUGGGUUGAAGUGCUCUUUGGAAGUUCUAGCUCUUAUGAGACUAGAUUAACAUUGGAAGUAUAGAUUGUUGUACAAUGAGGCCAACCCAUGUGCUUGGUUACUUCUUCAUGUAGCCGGUUCCCUUUCUGCUUCUCUGCACUGUUGUGAUGCAGCCAAAUUCAUCGUCGU